CCGGAGGAAGGUGGGGAUGACGUCAAGUCAUCAUGGCCCUUACGGCCAGGGCUACACACGUGCUACAAUGGUCGGUACAGGGGGUUGCCAAGCCGCGAGGUGGAGCUAAUCUCACAAAACCGAUCGUAGUCCGGAUCGCAGUCUGCAACUCGACUGCGUGAAGUCGGAAUCGCUAGUAAUCGUGAAUCAGAAUGUCACGGUGAAUACGUUCCCGGGCCUU
rnacentral:rRNA from 1 species